rnacentral:misc_RNA from 1 species
CCGAGUGAGGGCCCUCUGGGUCCAACCUCCCACCCGUGUUUAUUUACCUUGUUGCUUCGGCGGGCCCGCCUUAACUGGCCGCCGGGGGGCUCACGCCCCCGGGCCCGCGCCCGCCGAAGACACCCUCGAACUCUGUCUGAAGAUUGUAGUCUGAGUGAAAAUAUAAAUUAUUUAAAACUUUCAACAACGGAUCUCUUGGUUCCGGCAUCGAUGAAGAACGCAGCGAAAUGCGAUACGUAAUGUGAAUUGCAAAUUCAGUGAAUCAUCGAGUCUUUGAACGCACAUUGCGCCCCCUGGUAUUCCGGGGGGCAUGCCUGUCCGAGCGUCAUUGCUGCCCUCAAGCACGGCUUGUGUGUUGGGCCCCGUCCUCCGAUUCCGGGGGACGGGCCCGAAAGGCAGCGGCGGCACCGCGUCCGGUCCUCGAGCGUAUGGGGCUUUGUCACCCGCUCUGUAGGCCCGGCCGGCGCUUGCCGAUCAACCCAAAUUUUUAUCCAG